AAAUGCGAUAAGUAAUGUGACUUGCAGAAUUCAGUGAAUCAUCGAAUCUUUGAACGCACCUUGCGCUCCUUGGUAUUCCUUGGAGCAUGCCUGUUUGAGUAUCAUGAAAUCUUCAAAGUAAAUCUUUUGUUAACUCAAUUGGUUUCUACUUUGGUAUUGGAGGUCUUUGCAGCUUCACACCUGCUCCUCUUUGUUCAUUAGCUGGAUCUCAGUGUUAUGCUUGGUUCCACUCGGCGUGAUAAGUUAUCUAUCGCUGAGGACACUGUAAAAGGUGGCCAAGGUAAAUGCAGAUGAACCGCUUCUAAUAGUCCAUUGACUUGGACAAUACUUUUAUGAUCUGAUCUCAAAUCAGGUAGGACUACCCGCUGAACUUAAGC
rnacentral:misc_RNA from 1 species